GUCCUCAUAGUUUAGUGGAAGAACAAUCCCCUCCUAAGGGAUAAACACAAGUUCGAUUCUUGUUGGGGAUACCA
rnacentral:tRNA from 1 species